rnacentral:rRNA from 1 species
UAAGGAAUAUUGCUCAAUGGGAGAAAUCCUGAAGCAGCAACGCCGCGUGGAGGAUGAAGGGUCUAUGACUUGUAAACUCCUGUAAAGAAGGAAAAAAUUCCCAUUAGAUGGGAGAUGAUGGUACUUCUGGAGUAAGCCCCGGCUAACUACGUGCCAGCAGCCGCGGUAAUACGUAGGGGGCAAGCGUUGUCCGGAUUUACUGGGUGUAAAGGGUGCUCAGGCGGAUUUGUAAGUCAGAGGUGAAAUCUUACAGCUUAACUGUGAAACUGCCUUUGAUACUGCAAGCCUAGAGUAUGGAAGAGAGUGAUGGAAUAUCUGGUGUAGCAGUGAAAUGCGUAGAUAUCAGAUAGAACACCAAUGGCGAAGGCAGUCACUUGGUCCAUUACUUACGCUAACGCACGAAAGCGUGGGUAGCAAACA